AGUGUACAACUAAAUUUUUAUAUCUGAUAUUUAUGUGAUAGCUGAGUAGUUCCUCGAUCUGCAUGGAAAAUAAGAUCUAUGCAUAAAACCAAGUUCUGCAUCUAUAUUAAGUUAUAACUAAUGAUCGCAAGCGUGUCAUAAUCCCAAUUCGUUUUUUUAUUGAUGCUAUUAAACUCUAAUAAUUUUAUUAACAAAGCUGUCAUUCGAACUAACAAAAACAAACCUUAGUUCAUGGCUCAUUCUGGUCAGCACUGCACUACCGGCGCUGGUCGCGCAUGUGGCAAAGGUGACCUUUGUAGCAAAGGAUCAGCGGACUGCAAACAGGUGUCAGCGGCAUUUCUUGAGAGUCGGAUUAUUUCAGAUGCCAUUGAGCAUUCACCCAAAGAACUUUUGAAGGUCUGUUACGAGGGAAAACUUGCUGUCGUGCCUGGGAAAGAGCUCGCGCCUGUUCAAGUGAUCAAGCAGCCUACUGUGCAGUGGUCAGCCAGAAGUGAUCAGCUGUACACCCUUGUGGAAUUGGAUUUAGACGCUCCAAGUGCCACGGACUCUUCUUUAAGAUCUGUUCUGCAUUGGUUAAUCUACAACAUACCCGGGAAAAUUUAACUCAAGGCCAUGAAUAUGCAUCGUACAUGGGAAGUGCUCCUUUUCCAAACUCCGGUCUGCACCGAUAUGUGUUUCUAGUGUUUCCACAGACCGCGUCGUUUAAAAUACCCCCGCUGAUUGCCACUCCAGACUUUUCCGAACGAUUGCGAUUCGAUAUAAAAAACUUUGUACGGCAACGUAAUCUCGGUCCACCCUUAGCGGGAAAUUUCUAUGUUGCCCAGGCUGAUGCUUAUGCUACCGAAUUUUGGAAUAAACGUAACGCUUAGUUAUAUCUGUCGCUUAAAUACGUUUACUUAAUUAUAGAUAUUUUAAUAUGUAGAUUGAUUCUAAACGCCCGGCCAUGAAUAUAAAUUUAAUUUACCUAUCUGGGCAAGAAUUGCAACAUUACCGCAACAUUUUAUAAUGCCAUGUUCGUUAGUCAUUCAUUCGUUAUAAAAUGUCA